rnacentral:ncRNA from 2 species
CACCUAUCCAGAGCAGCCGAGAGACCUGGCUCGAUGACGCUGCAGCAACCGGUCGGUGUGACACGGUGCUAAUGCCAGAGGCGAUGGAGG